rnacentral:rRNA from 1 species
GAUGAACGCUGGCGGCGUGCCUAACACAUGCAAGUCGAGCGAACAGACGAGGCUCUUGCUCCGCGGACGUGAGGGGCGGACGGGUGAAAAACACGUGUAUAACCCACCUAUAAGAGUGGUAUAACUUCGGGAAACCGGAUCUUAUACCGGAGAAGCUAUUGAACCGUAUGGUGGAUUAGUGAAAGACGGUUGUGCUGGCAGUAAUAGAGGGAUAUGAGCCGCUUUAGAUGGUUGGGAGGGUACUGGGUUACCAAGGCAACGAGGGGUAGACGACCUGAGAGGGGGAUAGGCCACCCGGGAAGUGAGACACGGUCACGACUCCUGCGGUAGGCAGCAGACGGGAAUGGUCCGCAAUGGGGGAAAGCAUGACGGAGCAACGCCGCGUCAGUGACGACGGUCUUGGGAUCGUAAAACUCUGUUUUUGGGGAAGAACAACUGUGUCAGUAAAUAUGCCCGUAUUGACGGUACCGAAUAAGAAAGCACCGGCUAACUACGUG